CGCUGGCGGCGUGCCUAUACAUGCAGUCGAGCGGACAGAGGGGAGCUUGCUCCCGGAUGUUAGCGGCGGACGGGUGAGUAACACGUGGGUAACCUGCCUGUAAGACUGGGAUAACUCCGGGAAACCGGAGCUAAUACCGGAUAGUUCCUUGAACCGCAUGGUUCAAGGAUGAAAGACGGUUUCGGCUGUCACUUACAGAUGGACCCGCGGCGCAUUAGCUAGUUGGUGGGGUAAUGGCUCACCAAGGCGACGAUGCGUAGCCGACCUGAGAGGGUGAUCGGCCACACUGGGACUGAGACACGGCCCAGACUCCUACGGGAGGCAGCAGUAGGGAAUCUUCCGCAAUGGACGAAAGUCUGACGGAGCAACGCCGCGUGAGUGAUGAAGGUUUUCGGAUCGUAGAGCUCUGUUUGUUAGGGAAGAACAAGUGCGAGAGUAACUGCUCGCACCUUGACGGUACCUAACCAGAAAGCCACGGCUAACUACGUGCCAGCAGCC
rnacentral:rRNA from 1 species